UACGGAGGGUGCGAGCGUUGUCCGGGAUCACUGGGCGUAAAGGGCGCGUAGGCGGCAGGCCAAGCGUGCGGUGAAAGUCCGGGGCUCAACCCCGGAUCUGCCGUGCGGACUGGUUUGCUGGAGCACUGUAGAGGCGAGUGGAAUUCCGGGUGUAGCGGUGGAAUGCGUAGAGAUCCGGAAGAACACCGGUGGCGAAGGCGGCUCGCUGGGCAGUGGCUGACGCUGAGGCGCGACAGCGUGGGGAGCAAACAGG
rnacentral:rRNA from 1 species